rnacentral:rRNA from 1 species
GGGUUGUGAGGUUAAGCGACUAAGCGUACACGGUGGAUGCCCUGGCAGUCAGAGGCGAUGAAGGACGUGCUAAUCUGCGAUAAGCGUCGGUAAGGUGAUAUGAACCGUUAUAACCGGCGAUUUCCGAAUGGGGAAACCCAGUGUGAUUCGUCACACUAUCAUUAACUGAAUCCAUAGGUUAAUGAGGCGAACCGGGGGAACUGAAACAUCUAAGUACCCCGAGGAAAAGAAAUCAACCGAGAUUCCCCCAGUAGCGGCGAGCGAACGGGGAGCAGCCCAGAGCCUGAAUCAGUGUGUGUGUUAGUGGAAGC